UCCUUUUUAAAUAAAAUUUAAUUAAAUUAAAAUUUCACUUAAUAAUUUAAUAUUUAUUUUAAUAAAAUUAUUAUUUAUUAUAAACUGAAAAAUUUUAAUUUAAUUUUUGUUUAACCGCAACUGCUGGCACAAAAUUAGUUAUUAAUUUUAAUAUUACUAAAUCUUAAUUUCUUAAAUUUUUAAUAUAAAUUACUACUUAAUUUUAUUAACUAUUAUUAAAAUAAUUAAAAUUAUAUACAAAAAUUUAUAUGUAAAAUAAAUUUAUAUUAAAAUUAUAAAAACAUAAUUAUUUUAUU
rnacentral:rRNA from 1 species